GGAAAAGAAACACCUCCAAUGAUUAGAUGGGUCUAGAUGGCCUUUUUUGGACCUUUUAUAUGACUUUACACUUCUAGAAUUACCCAGUGUUCUUCAGUGGUUCCAUUUCUCAUAAGACACUAAGUACUACUUUUCACUUGUAUUCACUGUAAUGCUGAAGUUCUUUUACCAAGCAAGAAUAGUAAUGAGAAGGGAGUAACAACUAUUCCAGCUUUUAUGUUCUCAUAUCCUCUGAAUAGUUGGAACAUGGUUAAUUGAAAGUUUCAAGGUCCUAUGUCUCUGUUCUAUUAAAUACUGUGAAAUACUCUGCUGCAUUUGACCCCGUUGCUAAGCUUUUCUGUUUCCUUGUGACAUCAGCCAGGAUCUCAGCCUUUGCUGUAUAUGAACUAUAUCACCCAACCUGAGAACCAUGCUGAGAAUUUGAUGGAGUGGAAAAAGUAAAGGUUCAGAGAUCGCCUUCUGAAGAGGAAUGUUAUGUUGGAGGCUCCAUGAUUGAAGUAAAUUAAGAGGAAAAGCUGCCUGACAAUAAGUAGUUCCACGGUCUGACAUCAAAAUAUCUUCCAUCAAAACCAUGUCAUUUUCAUCCACCCUUGCUACUGUCCAAACUAAUCUGUUACCUGACUAUUGGGCCACUGCUGAAGACACAAGAGAUUCUAAUUAUGGGAAAAGUGUUUGGUUUAUGCAGCUUAAACAAAAUUAGAAGUGAAGUAUUUUAUUGAUUUCUUAAAGAUACAUAAUUAACCCACAGACAGUGGAUGAGGAUCAACAUCAACUUACCAACAUGGUCCUAGGGACUUGCAAAGGAUUAAUAAAUACUUACAAAUUUGCUGUUUGCUUCUGUAAUUAUUCUCAAAAAAUUCUAAUCUCAGCCACAUGCAGAAUGAUGGUAAAUCACUUCUCCUUCACAGGCAA